GAAGGCUUUGCCGAGCGGUCAAAGGCGACAGACUCAAGUCCUGUUUCGAAAGAUUCGCGGGUUCGAAUCCCGUAGCCUUCA
rfam:Thecamonas trahens ATCC 50062 unplaced genomic scaffold supercont1.1, whole genome shotgun sequence.